rnacentral:rRNA from 1 species
GACGAACGCUGGCGGCGUGCCUAAUACAUGCAAGUCGAGCGAACAGAAGGGAGCUUGCUCCCGGAUGUUAGCGGCGGACGGGUGAGUAACACGUGGGUAACCUGCCUGUAAGACUGGGAUAACUCCGGGAAACCGGAGCUAAUACCGGAUAGUUCCUUGAACCGCAUGGUUCAAGGAUGAAAGACGGUUUCGGCUGUCACUUACAGAUGGACCCGCGGCGCAUUAGCUAGUUGGUGGGGUAAUGGCUCACCAAGGCGACGAUGCGUAGCCGACCUGAGAGGGUGAUCGGCCACACUGGGACUGAGACACGGCCCAGACUCCUACGGGUGGCAG